CCCUCCCUCGGACAGAGGGGUAAAGCUAUAGGCCUGGGAGGGAGGAGGGGGGGGGGGCGACUGUCCGACUUCUUACAACCCCCCCCCCUCCCUCCCUCCCCAACCCCCAAAAGGAUCACCUUGCUCAAUCUGGGAUGCGUGCCACACCGAGCGAUCACAUAUUACCGGGGCGGCGGCGGAGCCGGAGCUGCCAGUGGAUGGACGCUCUAAGUUCCAACUUCGCUCGCGGUCUUCUCCGAGCAGCCGACGCUUUUUCACGCGAAGUCCCCGCGUGGCUUUGCCGGGAUGCCCGACACCUGCGCGGCACGCCGGUACGGUUGACACACCAACCGGGCUCAGCAUCACCUCCUUCAGCGGGUUCAAUGGGACUGACGAUGUGCUUCCCCUUGCGGCUGCUACUCGGCCUCCACCCAGCCGUCCUCCCUGCCCGAGGCGCCGACACCUCGCUUUUACCAACCGAGGAACCGAGUGAAGAUGGCGAUCAGGCUGGUAUGAGAGAACCCCGUGACGCUCCGACCCCGAGCCUGCCGCCGCGCUAAUGUGGCAUUGAGCGAACGUGCUCCGACUUGCAGAGAGAGCCCAGAGAAGAGGCGUGUGGUUGUCACGCAUCCGUAAGGAAUGGAAAGAACGGAGGACCACACAGUGGCGUGGUCAGAUCGGGUUGUCGGGAGGCCAUAUUUAAAAAGUGGGUCAGAGUCCGCACCCCUAAUUUCUCUCUCUCUCUCUACAUCUCUCUCUCUCACUCUCUCCUCGCCACACAGCUUCUUCCCCCUCACCCACUCCACGUCUGUAUUUCAUGCUCUCCGUUCUUUUCCCUCUCUUCCCUGCUGCUUGGCAUGUGCAGCCCGAGGCCUCCACGGCGGCAGCAGCUUUUUCCUUCAAGCAUCUUCAGAUUAAAGGGAACUCCGGGGUGAACGGGUUUAACUUUCUGACUCAUAGACAUCACCAUGAAACCUCUCCAGUUUUAUUAAUAAAAUGGUUUUUUUUGUAUGAUAAGUUUCCGGACAUUUUAUUUUUUAAUAUGCAAACCUGUAGAAUUCCUAUAGAAUAUAUUCAUAUAUUCGCAAAUGUAAACAUUUGAUGAAGGCAGGUUCAAAAUGAUAAUUUCCUUUUGUUGACAUAUUUAGAGUCGAAAGGUUUUUACGAUAGACCCGGUUCCAUGACCUUUCCAGGUUUUCCAUGACCGUAUGAACCUUGUAUAUUUUAGGUGUUUUCUUUUCACAAGACUAAAAGUUAUGGCAGCAAAAUAGCCAACAAUGUAAUAAUUGACCAGUGCAAACCAUAAAUGUGCCUGUAGUGUCUUGCCUUAACAGAGUAUUAGAUGGAUAAUUGAAUAAAAAAGGUGAAUGUUG